rnacentral:rRNA from 1 species
UACGGAGGGAGCUAGCGUUGUUCGGAUAUACUGGGCGUAAAGCGCACGUAGGCGGCGCCGUAAGUCAGGGGUGAAAUCCCGGAGCUCAACUCCGGAACUGCCCUUGAAACUGCGGUGCUAGAAUCCUGGAGAGGCGAGUGGAAUUCCGAGUGUAGAGGUGAAAUUCGUAGAUAUUCGGAAGAACACCAGUGGCGAAGGCGACUCGCUGGACAGGUAUUGACGCUGAGGUGCGAAAGCGUGGGGAGCAAACAGG